GCGCCUGUAGCUCAGUAUGGAUAGAGCAAGGGAUUCCUAAUCCCUGUGUCGCUGGUUCGAGUCCGGCCAGGCGCGCCA
rnacentral:tRNA from 1 species